GGGUUGUGAGGUUAAGCGACUAAGCGUACACGGUGGAUGCCCUGGCAGUCAGAGGCGAUGAAGGACGUGCUAAUCUGCGAAAAGCGCCGGCGAGGUGAUAUGAACCCUUGACCCGGCGAUGUCCGAAUGGGGAAACCCAGUGCAAUCCGUUGCACUAUCGUUAACUGAAUACAUAGGUUAACGAGGCGAACCGGGGGAACUGAAACAUCUAAGUACCCCGAGGAAAAGAAAUCAACCGAGAUUCCCCCAGUAGCGGCGAGCGAACGGGGAGCAGCCCGGAGUCUGAAUCAGCUUGUGUGUUAGUGGAACGGUCUGGAAAGUCCGACGGUACAGGGUGAUAGUCCCGUACACGAAAAUGCACAUGCUGUGAACUCGAAGAGUAGGGCGGGACACGUGGUAUCCUGUCUGAAUAUGGGGGGACCAUCCUCCAAGGCUAAAUACUCCUGACUGACCGAUAGUGAACCAGUACCGUGAGGGAAAGGCGAAAAGAACCCCGGCGAGGGGAGUGAAAAAGAACCUGAAACCGUGUACGUACAAGCAGUGGGAGCCUCUUUAUGGGGUGACUGCGUACCUUUUGUAUAAUGGGUCAGCGACUUAUAUUCUGUAGCAAGGUUAACCGUAUAGGGGAGCCGAAGGGAAACCGAGUCUUAACUGGGCGUUAAGUUGCAGGGUAUAGACCCGAAACCCGGUGAUCUAGCCAUGGGCAGGUUGAAGGUUGGGUAACACUAACUGGAGGACCGAACCGACUAAUGUUGAAAAAUUAGCGGAUGACCUGUGGCUGGGGGUGAAAGGCCAAUCAAACCGGGAGAUAGCUGGUUCUCCCCGAAAGCUAUUUAGGUAGCGCCUCGUGAACUCAUCUUCGGGGUAGAGCACUGUUUCGGCUAGGGGGCCAUCCCGGCUUACCAACCCGAUGCAAACUACGAAUACCGAAGAAUGUUAUCACGGGAGACACACGGCGGGUGCUAACGUCCGUCGUGAAGAGGGAAACAACCCAGACCGCCAGCUAAGGUCCCAAAGUCAUGGUUAAGUGGGAAACGAUGUGGGAAGGCACAGACAGCCAGGAUGUUGGCUUAGAAGCAGCCAUCAUUUAAAGAAAGCGUAAUAGCUCACUGGUCGAGUCGGCCUGCGCGGAAGAUGUAACGGGGCUAAACCAUGCACCGAAGCUGCGGCAGCGACACUAUGUGUUGUUGGGUAGGGGAGCGUUCUGUAAGCCGUUGAAGGUGUGCUGUGAGGCAUGCUGGAGGUAUCAGAAGUGCGAAUGCUGACAUAAGUAACGAUAAAGCGGGUGAAAAGCCCGCUCGCCGGAAGACCAAGGGUUCCUGUCCAACGUUAAUCGGGGCAGGGUGAGUCGACCCCUAAGGCGAGGCCGAAAGGCGUAGUCGAUGGGAAACAGGUUAAUAUUCCUGUACUUGGUGUUACUGCGAAGGGGGGACGGAGAAGGCUAUGUCAGCCGGGCGACGGUUGUCCCGGUUUAAGCAUGUAGGCGGAGGUUCCAGGUAAAUCCGGUACCUUAUUAACGCUGAGGUGUGAUGACGAGGCACUACGGUGCUGAAGUGAUAAAUGCCCUGCUUCCAGGAAAAGCCUCUAAGCAUCAGGUAACACGAAAUCGUACCCCAAACCGACACAGGUGGUCAGGUAGAGAAUACCAAGGCGCUUGAGAGAACUCGGGUGAAGGAACUAGGCAAAAUGGUGCCGUAACUUCGGGAGAAGGCACGCUGAUGUGUAGGUGAAGCCCCUGCGGGCGGAGCUGAAAUCAGUCGAAGAUACCAGCUGGCUGCAACUGUUUAUUAAAAACACAGCACUGUGCAAACACGAAAGUGGACGUAUACGGUGUGACGCCUGCCCGGUGCCGGAAGGUUAAUUGAUGGGGUUAGCGGCAACGCGAAGCUCUUGAUCGAAGCCCCGGUAAACGGCGGCCGUAACUAUAACGGUCCUAAGGUAGCGAAAUUCCUUGUCGGGUAAGUUCCGACCUGCACGAAUGGCGUAAUGAUGGCCAGGCUGUCUCCACCCGAGACUCAGUGAAAUUGAACUCGCUGUGAAGAUGCAGUGUACCCGCGGCAAGACGGAAAGACCCCGUGAACCUUUACUAUAGCUUGACACUGAACACUGGUCCUUGAUGUGUAGGAUAGGUGGGAGGCUUUGAAGCGUGGACGCCAGUCUGCGUGGAGCCAACCUUGAAAUACCACCCUUUAAUGGCUGGUGUUCUAACGUGGACCCGUAAUCCGGGUUGCGGACAGUGUCUGGUGGGUAGUUUGACUGGGGCGGUCUCCUCCCAAAGAGUAACGGAGGAGCACGAAGGUUGGCUAAUCCUGGUCGGACAUCAGGAGGUUAGUGCAAUGGCAUAAGCCAGCUUGACUGCGAGCGUGACGGCGCGAGCAGGUGCGAAAGCAGGUCAUAGUGAUCCGGUGGUUCUGAAUGGAAGGGCCAUCGCUCAACGGAUAAAAGGUACUCCGGGGAUAACAGGCUGAUACCGCCCAAGAGUUCAUAUCGACGGCGGUGUUUGGCACCUCGAUGUCGGCUCAUCACAUCCUGGGGCUGAAGUAGGUCCCAAGGGUAUGGCUGUUCGCCAUUUAAAGUGGUACGCGAGCUGGGUUUAGAACGUCGUGAGACAGUUCGGUCCCUAUCUGCCGUGGGCGCUGGAGAAUUGAGGGGGGCUGCUCCUAGUACGAGAGGACCGGAGUGGACGCAUCACUGGUGUUCGGGUUGUCAUGCCAAUGGCAUUGCCCGGUAGCUAAAUGCGGAAGAGAUAAGUGCUGAAAGCAUCUAAGCACGAAACUUGCCCCGAGAUGAGUUCUCCCUGAGACUUUAAGUCUCCUGAAGGAACGUUGAAGACGACGACGUUGAUAGGUCGGGUGUGUAAGCGCAGCGAUGCGUUGAGCUAACCGAUACUAAUGAACCGUGAGGCUUAACCUUACAACGCCGAAGGUGUUU
rnacentral:rRNA from 1 species